AUCCUAAAAGACCAUAUAAGUGUCAUUUAUGCCCAUAUGCAGCUCAUACAAGGAGUAAUCUAAAGAACCAUAUAAAUGCACACACAGGAGAACGUCCAUAUAAAUGUCCUGUAUGUGGUAGGGGCUUCACACAGAAAGGAAAUAUGCAAAAACAUCAGCAGCAACACAUUGAAAAACUAAAAAUGUUUUGACCGUUAAUUGUUACACGAGAAGGAAAAUGCAUGGGCUUGUGUGAAAUAUCAAUGUCUCGUGCAUAUUUUGUAGUGUAGGAUAUUAUGAAUUUAUAAUUAUAUUACAGGCCUUAUUUUUAAUUGUAUUGCCCAAUGCAUUUCUUUUUAAUUUGAUGAAUAUGUAGUGUAUUCAGUCCAUUACUAGUCUUGGCUUUGGAAUGUUCACCCCUUCCCUUCUAAAUUUAAUUUUUAGCAUUUACAUAUUUCUUGAUAUGUUAUUCAUUUAUAUAUUUCUUGAGUAUAAAAUAUUUUUAGUUUCUAAGAUAAAUAUAUAUUUUUACUGAUUUUAAUAUGCCUUAUGUGUGUUCAGACAAAAUUUGUUACAUCAAAAAAAUUAUUUCAAAUGAAGUUCAGCCAAGCAAUUUUUUUUUUAAAGGUUAGACACAUUUUUAAAACCGCAACAAAUAUAUUAGCAAAAUUAUCUUAUGUGCAUAAUUUAUUUUAAAGUAAAUUAAAACAUUCUUGCUUGGUAAUAAAUGCAAUUUUGCAAUCGUAAUCCUAUUGCAUUUGAUUCUUUCAGAACUUUAAAGAAGUAAGUUAGAGAAUUAGAGCAUAUUUAGAAAGAACAUUUUUUUUUUUUUUUUCAGUUAGAGGGCUAUCAUUAUUUAUUAGGGCAAAAUAAUUUCUGAUUUAGAAGUGUUAACAAUGUGUGUAAUGUAAUAAUUUUUACAUUAAAAUAUAUAUAAAUAUAUUUGCCAUUUUAUUUAAAUCUGUAAAAUAUUAAUCUUCAUUUUAGAAGAUAUGCAGUGAUAAUAUGUUGAAAAUAAGACAUGCUGUGUCUUUUUGUGCGUAAUUAUAAAAUGCAACAAGAAACAGUCAUGCUAUGCAUUUAAUUGUCAUAUUAAUUUAUAACGUAUUGGCAUGUGUAUCUGUGUGUGUAAAAUAUAUGUAUUUUAAUGCAAAUUCUUUUAUAUUCCAUUAUUUUAUUUAAAUACAGUCUUGCAAAAGUUUUUUGUGCAAUUGGAAAUUCCUUUGAAAAUUGUAUAAACAUACUAAUUAUCUUAUGUAAUGAUGAAUUAUUUUAUACAGUUAAUUUAAUAGGGUUUCAAACUUGAUUCUUAAGACAUCUCAUCUGUGUUAAUAGUUCUUUUUUUUUUUUUUUUUUUUUUAAAUUUUAGGGCAAAAUAAAUACCCAGGACAUUUACAAAGUUUUAAGACUGAAUUCACAAAAAUUUCAGAUCUGAUGAAAACAAUUUAAUUUUAAUUCAUAUAUAUUCCUUCUUAAGUAGUACAGUUUUUCCACCUUCAUGGAGCUUAUGGAUUUCUUCAUAAAAGUCAGCUGUAUGAAAAUUAUCCUGCCAUUGCAGUUUUCUGAAUUUUUUAAAUUGCUUAAAAGGGGUGCUUUUUAAGGUGGCAUUUCAGUUUGGGGAACAGAAGGCAUUUCACAGAUGUCAAAUCUGGCAGGAUUUCAAAUUUCAACACAAUAUUUUGUUCAAAAUAAUUUGCCCACUUGCUAUUCAGGAUUUAAUAUUAAGAAACACCAGUGUCCAAGUUGUAAAUAUGUUGCUGUCUCACGUAGCAUUUUAAAGAUUCAUAUGCGCAUUCACACAGGAGAACGACCUUACAUAUGCCCAUUUUGUGGUAAAAGGUUUAGGCAGAGUGGUACAAUGUACAGGCAUCAACAACAUAACUGUUCUAGAGGACCAGCCAAGAUUCAGGAAUCGAACAGAAAUUUUGCAUUCAAGAAUUAAUAUUAAAAUUUAUGGUGGCAGUUUCAUUUUUUUUAAAUAAGUUGGAUAUAAUUAAAAAACAUGUUGUAGAACAUAAAUGAUUUAUUUUUAGUGCUUAAAUUUUAAAUAUUAUUUAGAUUCAUUUGAUCUGUUGCAUGUCAUAGUUUGUACACUUCUUGAAAAAAGGAAUAAUUUUCAGUGUACUUGAAAGUAUCAGCAAUCUAUAAAAGUUCAUCAGUGAUUUUACUUUAUUUUCAGACAGUUAAAGUAAAAUCUUGAUAUCAGCAUCACUUUUUCUUUUGAGGCCAUUCAAAUUUAAGCUUUCUGUUAAUAUGUUUUUAAAUUUAUUGCUUUAAAUAAUAGAGAAGGAUGAAAUAAAUAUAUAUAUUUAUUCACUUUAAUAUAAUAACGUGUUACUCCUAUCAUUUGGGAAUUACACAACUUGCAAACAUCUAUAGAAAAGUGGCUAAGUACCAUAUUACAUGCCUACCAUUCUUUAAGUCAUUGCUUAUUGUAACAAAUGUCAUUUUAUCAGAAGGAAACGAAACUAGUAUGGCCUUCAUUCAUCUUAAUUUCAUUUUGCUGAGUAGGUUAAUGUAUUUUAUUUAAUGCAAAUAAAAAAUUAAUUUUUGUGUAGUAAAAAUAUCAAAACUAUGCAUUUUGUAGAAUAAAAUUAAUAUUUUUUGCUUGAAUUAAAAAUGGAUUAUUUGUUUAGACAGCUGAAAAAUAUUUACUAUGGAAAAAUUGUAUUAAUUUUAAACUGUAGUGUUUUUUGAAGUAUGUUAAAUGAGCAAAUAAAAUACAAAAUUUUCUUGCAUUAUAUGAGGGGUAUUUUUUUAAGUAAGGGCUGUUUAAAAAUAAAAAACAAAUAAAAGAAAAUUUUCAAACGCCAAAUUUGUUUUCAGAUUUUACAUAUGUUUCUCUAUUUUUCAAAAUAGUUGACAAGUUUGUUUAAAUACUUAUCAUAUAUUAGAACUAGAUUUUGAAUACCCUCAUCAUAGAAACUUGUUGCCUGCUGCGAUAACAAAGAGGUCACGGCCGUUUUCACGUUUUCGUCAUCGUUGUAGUGGUUGCCAUAGUGGAAAAGAUGAAAGUCACUCAGUGUAAAGUCUGAUUUGUAGGAGGGGUCCAAAACUUCCGAAAAAGUGUAAUAAAGCUCGGGUCUGAGCUGUGGUGUGAAGCCUUGCAUUGUCAUGAAGAGCAAAAUUCCCUCUGUCAGCAUGCCGCAUCUUUUGUUUUAAAUCGCUCAGCAUAGCUUUCAUAGGGUUUGGCAUUCGUAGGGUUUUGCAUUUAUGGUAAUUCCACAUUGCAUGAAGUCGACCAACAAAACACCAUGCCUAUCCCAAAACAUGGAUGCCAUGAUCUUAUGCUGGGACAGAGUCUGUUUGGCCUUGACCCUUACAGGAGAGUGUAUAUGUCUCCACUCCAUGCUCUGUUGCUUCCAUUCGGGCGUGACAUGUGAAACCUGUGUUUUGUCUCCCACUAUUAUCCAACUCAAUAUGGCAUCACCUGCUUCAUUAUAACAAGUAAAAAAAUUCAGUGAACACUCAAAUCUUUUGUUUUUGUGGUCCUCUGUUAGGAGUUUCGGGACCCAACAGGAGCACAGUUUCUUAAACCUUAACUAUUCAGAAACAAUUUUGUACAGCACUGACCUAGACACUUCAGAAAAUUCAUUUGAAAGAGUACUUAUGGCGAAGCAUAUGUUCUCAAGAAUUUUGACUUCAGUUGAAGCUACCAUAUCGUCCGUGAUCACAGAUGGGCGACCAAGCUCUCUUUGUAAAACUGCUCUGUAAGCUUUACAAAUCUGCCAGUGAAUUCCUGCAGCAGACAGGUUUCUUGCCGACAAAAAAAUGUAUCACUGACCAAACCUUGCAUGGGGCGGGCCAUUCGAUAAUCUUGAACAUUUUACAGAAAAUUGACCGCACAGGUUACCUACACACUGCAAACUGAGUACAGUCGUUUCCAAGGAAUGGUGGGACAUGAUGCAAGCACAUGUUGUGGUGUGCGCUACCUAUUAGUGUAUACAACAAAACGGCCCUUACUUAAAAAACGCUCAAUGUAGUAAAUAUGUAUUUAGCUAAUUUAUUUCAAUUGGUUAUAGUCCCAAUUAAUCCGGAUGAUUAGAGUUCUACUUAAUAAGGGAAGGGAAAAGUCAACCCUGAAAAACAAUUAAAUUUUAAUUGCAUUCAUAAAUUGAUGAAAAUAAUAUUGGGAAAAGUUUGUUUUGGAGAAAGAGCAACAGCAGCAUUUAAUCUUUUAUUUUGGACAUACAGCAUUUUUAUGAGAUAUUCUUGUGUUAAAAAUCUUGUACAAGGCAAUUAAGAGCCAGAUGAGGCUUUUUACUUCCUUGUAUGAAGUAUUGUAAUCACAAAAAAUUCCUGGUACCACAUUUUAACAAAAAUAUCCAUUUUGACCGCUAUUGAAUGCAAUUUAACGAUAUUUUUGCAUGAUAUUUGUCCAUAAGGAUAGAGUAAGACUCUUUUUCCCAAAUUAAAUUACAAAACUCAUUUAAAAUGAAUUGAGAAGAGACUCUUUUUCAUGGCAUCUGUCGUUACGUAUGUAACUCGCAUAACUCAAAAACGAGUAGCCUCAGAACGUUGAAAUUUUGUAUGUAGGACAGCUGUAACAUGUAGUGCACCUUGCAUUUUGGUUGCAAAUGGCUACACCAAAAGUAUAUAAAUAUAUAUACCCCCUCUGUUACUUGGCUCUGUGAGCUCAAUUUUUUAUUCUUAUAAUGUUGGUAAAUUGUGCAUUUUUUUCUUUAAAAAUGAUUUAAUCAUGUUCAUA
rnacentral:lncRNA from 1 species